GGCUGAUGUUGCUGGACCGAAGUGGGC
rnacentral:piRNA from 2 species